rnacentral:sRNA from 1 species
GGACUGGAGAAGGGAGGCGGCGGGCGAAGCGCACGUCGAGCGGGGGAGCGGCGCUGCCUGUGGAGAUCCGCGGAGGCCGACAGGAUUCGUUGGCUGCCGUCCCCGCUGCUGUGCAUUGGAUAGAAGAGGAGUUAUGGGAAGAAGAAUUUAUUGAACGCUGUUUCCAAGAAAUGCUGGAAGAGGAAGAAGAGCAUGAAUGGUUUAUUCCAGCUCGAGAUCUCCCACAAACUAUGGACCAAAUCCAAGACCAGUUUAAUGACCUUGUUAUCAGUGAUGGCUCUUCUCUGGAAGAUCUUGUGGUCAAGAGCAAUCUGAAUCCAAAUGCAAAGGAGUUUGUUCCUGGGGUGAAGUACUGAAAUAUUUGA